AUAAACACUGUACCCAAAUCCACGUUUUACAAUGCUCCUGGGAAAUGGGUAGGCCUCCACCUAUAGUCCUUCACAGUUUUACAGGUGUGAUAUAUUUAUUUAUUUACAUAGAUCACAUACAUAAAUAAAUAUGUUAGCUGUAGGUAGCGUUGAGAUCAAAUUCCCAUAUUCUAUUGCUACUAAACAUAUAUCAUGUUUUCCUCAUUUGCUCUGUAGGAGGUUCGUCAUAUGAAGGACAUUCAAGUGGAUGUGACCCCGAACCUGCAAUAGGGGCUCAGUGAGGUGACAGACAUCCUGUAAUGGAUCUCCAGCUAGUGUCUGAGGACCUGGAGAAGGCUGUGUCUACAGCUGUGGGGCAGGACAAGUAUGGUAUAGCAGGUAACCAACCCCACCCGGGUCUUACCCCCUAGGACUUACCCUUUGCUACCGGCUACCACCGGUCGUAAUACAAUGGGACUACUGAAUAAGCUCAGGCUUUCUAGAUUCGAAUUGACACAACCCGUACAAUUGGUGACACCGAACGUGAUCUGGUGAAGGACUUCGCUGGACAUUGGUGUGCCAGCCGAUUGGCCAGUACUGUCGUCGGACGCUGUCGUCGGACGGUGUGUCUCACAAAUCCUGACCGGUCAACUAAAAAAGGUAAGCAGACACCUGUUGUGAAAAACUAAAGUUCUGCACAUUGGCGUUAUCCAAAUUUAGUUUUGUGAGACACCUGUUUGAUGUAUGUAACCAAAUUCUAUUAAUUUAUAUUGGUAAAGGAUCAUGAGGAAUACAUAGUGGUAAAUGCAAUUUUGAACUGAUCGAUCGCUCUUAUGGUAUAACAACUAAUGUAAUGUACUAAAUGGGUCGGUUGGUGUAACGCGUACCCAGUUGUUUGAAUGACGGUGAAUCAGAUCGGUUAAAGGAAUUUACUAGUGUGUGUGUGAGCAGGAUCGCAAUGUAACAAUGAAUGCUGUGUACUGGUGUGCAUGAGGACAUUUUUCUAGUAUAAAUGGAUAUUUACUUUGGGUAAAUUUAGAGUGAGUGCAGUACUACUGGGAUAUAAGUGGGCGCGCUGUAUCAGAGUGAAUGAUCUACGGAUAGAAUUUGCAGGCCAACAAAUUAAAAAGACCUGUGUUACAUUGGAUGGUUGCUGAAGCAUAUGUAGUACAUUAGAUAUUUCAGUUGUAGCUGGUAUCAAGUUUGAAUGAAAGGUUUAUAGAUCCUUAUAAGGGUUAUAGUACCUGGUUGUAUUGCAUAAGAGUAAGGGAAGAUAAAUAACUGCACAUUUUUAUUAUUUAAAUUGAGUGAUUCAAACUGACGUAUGUUUGUAAGGUUUGAGUGAUUCGAACUGAUGUAUGUUUGCAGCUUUGAGUGAUUCGAACUUACGUAUGUUUGUAAGGUUUGAGUGAUUCGAACUGAUGUAUGUUUGAAGGUUUGAGAGAGUCGAACCGUAUGAUUGUGGUACAUUAGGUAUUAAGUCGAUGUACUAAUACCAAGUUUGUAUGACCUUCGGGUAAAUAACAGGUGUGAGACCUAGGUUAUGUUUUGAAACGGUAAAGGAGAAGUGCACGGUGUUUACUAGACAGUGGCUAGAUUGGCACACAUCCUAAGGCAGCACACAA